GGGAGCAGCGUCCGGGGCAGGCAAGCAGUCUCUCCCUAAUGUAAGAUGGUGGCCGGUCUGGCAGCGGAGCGCGCAGAGCCUGGAGAUUACCCGUCUCUCACAUAAAGGUCGUCGGAGGAGCCGCCUGGACCCCUUCCCCGCUGCUACAGAAGCCGAGCGAGCGAGUGAGCGGGAGGAAGGGAGCGCGAGAGGGUAUCGCCGCCCCCGCCGCCAGACAGCCGGUCGCCGUGGAGCAGGGACGACGAGGCGGCGGAUCUUCAAGUAUCUUCAUUUUAGUUUUCUGUGCUAUUCCUCCCUUAAGUUAUUAUAUACUUUUUUGCUGCUGUGUGAAAACAGAGAUGUCUCGCAGCCCAGAUGCGAAGGAAGACCCUGUGGAAUGCCCCCUUUGUAUGGAGCCUCUUGAGAUUGAUGACAUAAACUUCUUCCCUUGCACCUGUGGUUACCAGAUCUGUCGCUUCUGUUGGCAUCGUAUUCGCACUGAUGAGAAUGGGCUUUGCCCUGCUUGCAGAAAGCCAUAUCCAGAAGAUCCAGCAGUGUAUAAACCACUCUCCCAAGAAGAGCUGCAAAGGAUAAAAAAUGAAAAGAAACAGAAGCAAAAUGAGAGAAAACAGAAGAUAUCAGAGAAUCGUAAACAUCUGGCCAGUGUACGGGUUGUACAGAAGAAUCUUGUAUUCGUAGUAGGGUUAUCCCAACGCCUAGCAGAUCCAGAGGUUUUGAAAAGGCCAGAAUAUUUUGGGAAAUUUGGUAAAAUACACAAAGUUGUAAUCAACAACAGCACAUCAUAUGCAGGCUCACAGGGUCCAAGUGCAAGUGCAUAUGUAACUUACAUCCGGUCAGAAGAUGCACUCAGAGCCAUACAGUGUGUCAAUAAUGUGGUAGUAGAUGGAAGAACACUUAAGGCGUCUUUAGGAACCACGAAAUAUUGCAGUUACUUUUUGAAGAAUAUGCAGUGUCCUAAACCAGACUGUAUGUAUCUACAUGAAUUAGGGGAUGAAGCAGCCAGUUUCACAAAAGAAGAGAUGCAGGCUGGUAAGCAUCAAGAAUAUGAACAGAAGUUACUCCAGGAAUUAUACAAGUUAAACCCCAACUUCCUCCAGCUGUCUUCAAAUGCAGUUGACAAGAACAAGAACAAAGUGACUUCACUACAGAGGUAUGAUGUACCCAACAGUAAUAACAAAGAUGCCUGGCCAUCAUUACAGAGUUCAAGUAAAUCAGUCAACGGCUUAACAAUGGAACACAGGAAAACGCCUCCUAUUUUAGAAAAUGGCACAGACUCAGAACACAUGACUCCAGAUGGUCCAGAUUCAGAUUUCGGCACUAUCGACAAACCUUCAGAUUCUCUCAGUAUAGGAAAUUGUGAUAACUCACAGCAGAUAUCAAAUAGUGACACACCUUCACCACCACCCGGCUUAUCAAAAUCCAAUUCAGUCAUCCCCAUCAGUUCAUCCAAUCACAGUGCACGGUCUCCCUUUGAAGGGGCUAUAACAGAGUCACAGUCUCUCUUCUCGGACAACUUCCGGCACCCCAACCCUAUUCCAAGUGGGCUCCCUCCAUUUCCCAGCUCCCCACAGACUUCAAAUGACUGGCCCAUGGCACCAGAGCCACAGAGCCUCUUCACAUCAGAAACCAUCCCAGUAUCCUCGUCUACAGACUGGCAAGCGGCGUUUGGAUUUGGUUCUUCCAAACAGCAAGAAGAUGACUUGGGGUUUGAUCCCUUUGAUAUCACCCGCAAAGCCUUAGCAGACCUGAUCGAGAAGGAACUGUCGGUCCAAGACCAACCCUCCCUCUCGCCCACGUCUCUCCAGAACCCUUCCCCUCACACUACAACCGCCAAAGGGUCAGGCUCUGGAUUUCUGCAUCCUGCUGCGCCCGCAAAUGCCAACUCUCUCAAUAGCACAUUUUCAGUCUUGCCACAGAGGUUCCCGCAAUUUCAACAGCAUCGAGCAGUUUACAACUCCUUCAGUUUUCCAGGCCAAGCUGCUCGCUAUCCUUGGAUGGCCUUCCCACGCAAUAACAUCAUGCACUUGAACCACACAGCAAAUCCCCCUUCAAAUAGUAAUUUCUUGGACUUAAACCUCCCACCACAACACAGCACAGGUCUAGGAGGGAUCCCUAUAGCAGGUUGAGACCAGACAGCCCAUCAGAUGGUUCACUGCCAGCCCUCCAAAGAGACAACUGUGCUCUGCAAGUGGAGCCCACGGCCACCCUAAGGGGAAGAAUUGACUGCACCGUACAGGCAUGGAAUACCUUUGGAAUCCCUGGUUACUGCAUCCUGCCAGAGCCCCAGGAAUCGUAGAGUUGGAAGGGAUCCCAAGAGUCAUCAAACCCCACCCUCUGCAAUGCAGGAAUCUCAACUAAUGCAUCCCUGACAGAUGGCCAUCCAACCUCUGCUUAAAACCUGCAAUGAAAGUGAGUCCACCCCAUUCCGAGGGAGACUGUUCCACUGCUAAACAGCUCUUACUGUCAGAAAGUUCUUCCUGAUGUUUAGUCAUUCUGCAUUCAUGUAUGUAUUUUUUUUGGGGGGGGUGAUUUUCACAGAUCUCUCAAUGCGGGGAUUAUAGUUUGAAGUGUGCAGCUUUGGGCUUGCUCCUCUUGUGGUACAGGAAACAACAACAUAAAGCCGAAUCGUCUACCACCUGGUCCUGCCUUCACCUACCGGUACCUAGUGCCUAGCUGCUGUUUUGGACCACAUUUCCCAUCAGCCCCUGCUAACCCACCGUCAAAUUAGAGAAGGAUUUUGAUUUGACCCUUUGGCCUGCAGAUGGCAGCACUAGCUUAGUAAUUUGCUCAGCAACUCAGAAGAAGUUUGAUGCAGGAGAAACAUAAGAUAAAACACACCCCUCUCAUGGUGUAACACUUUGCAAUGCAAGAGAAAAAGAACCAGUGAGUGAGUAGCAAUGGAACUACAACAGAAUCUAGAAUUCUCCCAGGCUUACGAUCAUAUUCAAUACAGCACUAAAGUGAACAUUCCAUCAGUGCAAAGUUUUCUCAUUGCACAAAGGAACAUCCCCCAACCCACCUGGAGAAGAUUUGAGGACAGCGCAGACACUGGCGGAGAAAGAGGGGUGGGGGGGAGCGCACCCCCCCAGCAGCGCAAUCUCGGCGGGGUGCCAUUGUGUCUGCCCCCUGCGCCACGCCCCAGGACGCAUGCCAGCUACGCCCCCACCCAUGAAGCUCCGCCACUGAGCACAGAGUGUGUGCAGAGGAAGGAGAGCGAGGAAUUUUGUGCUAGUACAGAAAAAAUAUAUUUGAAUACUGCCCUUAGUGUUUUAAGGCUGCUGAAAUCAUAGAAUCAUAGAAUUGUAGAGUUGGAAGGGACCUUAAGGGUCAUUUAGUACAACCCCCUGGAAUACAGGAUUCUCAGCUAAAGCAUCCAUGACAGAAAAUAGAGCACAACAUUCUUGCCAUGACACUCUCCCUCCCUCCUUCCCUCCCUCCCUCUCUGUAUAUAUAUCCUUUGCAAAUACAUUCUACCAGAGAUGUGAUGGGUUUGGUUAAUAUGAGACCCUUCUCUGUGAGUACUGGGAGGAACCAGAGGUGUUAUAUUGGCACAGUGACUGAGUCUAUAGAGAGCAUACAUGCAGAGUAUUCAGGAAAAGGGUAAGCACUUGAAUGGUAUAUUUUGAUGGUUGUACAAUUAUAUAGCUGUCUCACGGGGAACAUAUAACCAACAAGGACUAUGUAUAUUUUCUCAGAAGGAAGUCCUACUGUACUUACUGGGAUUUACGCCCAUAAAGGUGGGAGAGGAAGCCAAAAGCAGUGUGCUGCUGCUCUAAUACUCUUAAUCCAUAUGGCAAAUCUUGCAAGGGAUUUAAAAGAGCAAACGUGUGGACAGUAGAGACUCGUUUUAAAACUGGACUCCAUUUCUUAACCAGCAGAGGGAGCUUGAUUCUAUACACACCAUAAUAAGCUGGACAAGUGCUUGAAUAAAUGUCCUGCCGAAAGCCUAUUGCACUGGAUCCAGCCUCGUUGGUUGCAGAAAGGGAAUUUGCUUUUCACACUCUACCCAAAACCCAAAGAUACGUGUUCUUGGAUGAGGAACCAGCUCUGCCCCUUCCUCUCUGCAAGUCUGGGAAAAGUGUAGGAGGGGAUGUGGGGCCCUUGCAACUGAUCAAACUGCUUUGAAUCACUGGAGUGGUAAAAAAAAAAAGCUCAUGAAACUGGACCUCAAAAUGUAAGUGAGGGUGUAGCUCUGGAAACACCUGGUAGUUGGCUGCUGAAUAAAUCAGCCACCACCCUUGCGGCUCCCUGCCACAAAUAGUCUUCUUGCAGAAUGUACUGUUUUUCAAAUAACCAGCAAGCCAAUCUGAUCCUUAGACUUGCUCCCUUUCCUGAGCUCCUACAGCUGCCAAUGAUCACUCAACCAAGUUUCAGCCACCAUCUUUCCUAAUGUUCCCAUGCAUUCAUGCCAUUACAUGUACCAUAUGCAUAAUGCUCACCCAAUUUAAGUAUGGAGCACUUUCUUAUGGGGACAUGCCAACGGAAUGGGAUAGCAGUGGAUUCCCUCAGAAGCAACAAUCAAAGGGUGCAAGGGCACAAUUAAUGGGGGAGAUAUGGAAGAGGUGCCCCAGUCAGUUGAUGGUGGAGGCCUCAUUUGGCCUCUGAAGCCCAUUAUGGUGUAGCAGUCUCUAUAGGGUGAUAAAGUCUAAUAAGAGAGUUGUACCUAUUACCUGACUAGAGAUUUGUCAAUGGGCUCUAAUAGAAACAUUGCCAAUCUGAAUAGAAAGGAGACUGAGGGCUAAGCAGCACUCCUUUCUUUAAUUUGUUUGGCUCAGUCUUGGAUAUCUGGCCAUUCCUCAUCGAACAGCCUUAGUGGUGGAGUCACUUCUCACUUGGGGGCCUAAUUAUUGUGCUGAAUGGGCCUGACUGAGGUUACAGGUGGAAUCUAGUCAAUACUUACCCUCUUCUGGUGUCACUGCUUUGUUUAUUUGCCCUCAGCAUCCUGUCUUGCAGGCAACAAACAGCGAAGGAGACUGACAUGGUAACAAUGAUCACUCCGCUGAUGAGAGAGGCGAUUACUGCCACCCGGAAACCUUUAUCCAGGGGCUUUGGGAUCACUAAGGUGACAAAAACAAAGCAUGCUUGUUAUGAGUCACACACUGUAAAUGACAUUAACUGAAGGUCACCUGGAAUAUUGCCAGUGCACUUCUUAGUUUUUCCAUUUAGAAUCUUCAUUUUUGCGGAGAGAAUGAUCUGAAAAGAUGCAUGCUUUCUUGAUCCUCAUUUGAACAGCACGAUAUUCUGUUUAUACAAAGCCCAGCAAUUCAGAAAUAAGUUUAACCAGUAGCUUACCUUCACAGUGAGGUGGGGGGUGGCUCCAGUAAAAGAUGCCUCCUUCUAGCAAACAGGUCAGCUUUCGUUUGCCCACAAGCUGAUAGCCUUCUUUGCACCAGUAUGUGACCACUGAACCCAGGGAGCUGCCAGAGCCCUCUUCGGUAUAAUAAAACCCAUAGCUUGGAGAGAGGAGAGCUGUGCACUGAGCUGCAACAGACACAGGGAAACUAAAUAUGGGUUAUUUGAAGAACACAUCUGUAUGAAUCAAUGGCGUUGUCAGCUCAGGUCUGCAAAUGAGGUUCUGCAAAGUGACUUGUGCAGCAGCAGCUUUUGUCUGCAAGGGAGCUGCUGUAAUGUGCUGGCAUCACAAGAGGGUGAAUUGAUGAAGGAUAAGGCUAUCAGGGACCACUAGUCAUGAUGGUUACAUGCCAGCACCAGGAUCAGAGGCAGCGUGCCUUGAAUGCUGGUUGCUGGGGAAUAACAGUGGGAGAGGGCUGUUGCCCUCUUGUCUGAUUGGCUACUCUGGUAAACUUUAUGCUGGGUUAGAUAGGUUUUUGAAUCAGACUCAGGAAAGCGGCUCUUAUAACUUGGUGCUUCUCAUGUUGAAUUGUAUGUAUGAAAGAAGGGUACCGGUACUCCCUGAAAAAAGUGGGUGUUUUAUAUUGUUCAGCUGUGAAACUGUCCAUCCUAUGAUAAGCAAAGCCAGAUGUAUUGAAUUUGUGCAUUCAAUCUCUUCUCUCCAUAUGCCACAUUUUAAAUCAAGGGAAGGAAAUCAGGGCACAUGGUAAGGUCUGAAGUGUUCCCAGGAAAAUGCUGGUUUUCAUUAUUGUACUUGCUGUCUCUUGAGGGUAAGUAUGGUUCAGCGCUCAUAAGAGGGUUAGCAAAUUCCUUCAGGCUGGAAACUAAGCAGUAAGUACAGAUUUGGCAUCCAAUGUAACUGGGACAACACUGUUCUUUGUGUCUACUCAGAAGUAAGUCCCACUAAGUUCAAUAGAAUUUGCUCCCAGGUAAGUAUGUGUAGGAUUGCAGUCUAAAACAACGGAACUGGCUGGCUUUGAAAAUGUACUGGUAAACCGCUCACAUAAGGCUAAAUGCUUAGUUUCUCAAACUUACAUCCUUUUGCUAGGCUACUUGUUUGUCUCUACUGAGAGGCCAUGGUUAGUUUGGGAAAGAGACAUAGACAGCCAGAUCUCUGCAGAUGACCAGAAGAAAAUUUGUCAAUACAGUAUGCCAUGAACUUGCCUAGAGUUCAUCUCAGUCCACAUUAAAAUUAGUGCACCAAAAGCACCUGCCAGUUCUAAGGCUUGCUUGUUUGUUUGUUUGUUAAAUUUGUUUAUUGCCCCAUUCUCAUAGAUCUUAAGGAGGCUCACAGCAUAAACUUCCUUCAUUUUGGAGAUGGAGAAAACUUGUAUCUCAAAGUUCAGGCUACAGCUUGUGGUAGAGCAGUCUGAUGGACUCAGGCAUACAAUACUGUAUUAACAAAAUACUGUAAUACAGAUAAUUUGUCUCCCAAUCACAAGUCUUUUCAACCAGACAUACUUCAUAACAGUAACUGCAACACUGGAGGCAGCAGGAUUCAAUAGGGUUUAGGGCUGUUCUCCAGUGGCAUAAGUGAAGUACCAGGACCAGGUGAUCAAUGGCUUCUCUAAAUCAGAUGUCUUUAACAUGUAAUGGUUUCCAUUCAUUGCAUUCAUUAACAGCAGUUCAUCAAUAUAAAUAUGCACCUCUCAUCAGUUUUGGGCUGGACAUGUUUCUACAUUGUGCAUUGAUUUCAUUCUAAUGCGGACAACAUAUUCGUGCCUACUCCUUUAUAGUUUGUUAUGCCAUUCUAUUAUACUUUGUUGAUCUUUAAAAAUCCUUCAAAAACACUUCAGUAAACAGUUUUUAAAUAAACAAACAUAGUAUGCAUAGUGCAAGGGAGAGAGGGACCUGCCUACCAAUUCCCAUUAAGUGCCCCCUUUCCCUGCAAUUGCCUUACAGAGAAAACAACUGAAAUCAAGAAUCCUAAGUUUUCCUCCUGAGAUAAUGUUAUUCCCUUGGUGCCAACUCUGCUCCUCCCAAAAUGUUUAUCAACUACCAAUAUUUCCACCCCCAGGUGUUAUGAUGCACUGAUUUGUGCAUGGUAUAAAAGAAGUAUUUUUGCUCCAAAAAAAGGGAAAUUCAAAGAACAUCUAGAACAUCUGUGGUAGUUCUGCCUGUUCCAACAGGAUCAAGAUCUUAGCUGAAGAUGCCAUAGUGUGCUUACUAGUGAAUUUGCACCAUGCUUACAAAACAGCAUGCUUGUACUUGACAUUUACUAGCACAGAAUAAUUGCCACCACAUCCCUCAACAUUUAUAUGCACUAAAGUAGGCUAAAUUCUUCAUACCACUUAAAUGUGUGCAUUGAGUCUGUGAGAAAAAAAUCCAUAGCUUUGAUCCUCAGUGACGCUUAAGAGUUAACGUUGUGGUUUUUGUAGCAGUUAAUAUGACCGAGUGGUUAAACCGGGAUGCUAAGGGGCAAGUAAUGAGUGACCUAGUAUAUGCCCCUUGAGCGAUGGCAGGAAGAAUACCCUUUCGAUAGCAAGUAGUGCAUAUUAGAAACACGAGGUGUGACUUUUGGCUGAAGAUCUGAGGACACAAACACACACUUAAACACAAGAUGUUUCAGAGUACCUGAAAGGUUGCCUUGUACAAUGGUCCCAUUUCCAGCAUCUCUAAGAAAUUUCUUUACACCAGCUUCCUCUCCAGGGAUGGUGGUCAAGGAUUCCAGAGCUUCACUCAAGGUAAACUCUAGGCAACUCCAGGCUAGUAGGCAGAGGGCUGCGUGUUCCUGGGAUGGUUGCUUCUUCAUAUCUUGAGGCUUUGCUGUGGCAUCCUGGAGUUCUCCCAAGAAUAUUUGAGUGCAUGUUUUCCCCUUCUUCACUCAAAAUCUGACCUGGCAGCAGUAAGCUGGAUUUGAGGUCUUUAAGCCUUGAGGAGCAAAGCCUGUUUGUUCCCCAGAGACCAGCUGCCAUUUCACCAAAUCUUACAAGUCUGA